rnacentral:sRNA from 1 species
AGAAAAGAAAGGAGGGUGUGUGUCUUUCUUAACCAAAGAGGGAAGACAGGCCUUCCAGGGCUUCUUCCUCUUUCUUUUCGUCCUUCUUUUCUUCCUUGGCC